GGGCAUAUGGUCUAGUGGUAUGAUGCACCCUUAGCAUGGGUGAGGUCCCCGGUUCAAUUCCGGGUUUGUCCA
rnacentral:tRNA from 1 species